UAAUGAUGAUGUGGACAACUUAGAACCAGGACUUAAACCUAUCCCAAGCUUGGUACAAGUUUUCUCCUCCUUUCUGUCGAAAGCUUAAUAUGUCGCUUCUCAACUU